UACGUAGGGUGCAAGCGUUAAUCGGAAUUACUGGGCGUAAAGCGUGCGCAGGCGGUUUUGUAAGUCUGACGUGAAAGCCCCGGGCUCAACCUGGGAAUUGCGAUGGAGACUGCAAGGCUUGAAUCUGGCAGAGGGGGGUAGAAUUCCACGUGUAGCAGUGAAAUGCGUAGAGAUGUGGAGGAACACCGAUGGCGAAGGCAGCCCACUGGGUCAAGAUUGACGCUCAUGCACGAAAGCGUGGGGAGCAAACAGG
rnacentral:rRNA from 1 species